rnacentral:rRNA from 1 species
CCUACGGGGAGGCAGCAGUGGGGAAUAUUGGACAAUGGGCGAAAGCCUGAUCCAGCAAUGCCGCGUGGGUGAAGAAGGUCUUCGGAUCGUAAAGCCCUUUCGACGGGGACGAUGAUGACGGUACCCGUAGAAGAAGCCCCGGCUAACUUCGUGCCAGCAGCCGCGGUAAUACGAAGGGGGCUAGCGUUGCUCGGAAUUACUGGGCGUAAAGGGCGCGUAGGCGGCGGCCCAAGUCAGGCGUGAAAUUCCUGGGCUCAACCUGGGGACUGCGCUUGAUACUGGGUUGCUUGAGGAUGGAAGAGGCUCGUGGAAUUCCCAGUGUAGAGGUGAAAUUCGUAGAUAUUGGGAAGAACACCGGUGGCGAAGGCGGCGAGCUGGUCCAUUACUGACGCUGAGGCGCGACAGCGUGGGGAGCAAACAGGAUUAGAUACCCUGGUAGUCCACGCCGUAAACGAUGUGCGCUGGAUGUUGGGGCCCAUAGGGUCUCAGUGUCGUAGCCAACGCGGUAAGCGCACCGCCUGGGGAGUACGGCCGCAAGGUUGAAACUCAAAGGAAAUUGACGG